UACGGGGGGAGCAAGCGUUGUUCGGAUUUACUGGGCGUAAAGGGCGCGUAGGCGGCGCCGCAAGUCGACUGUGAAAUCUCCGGGCUUAACCCGGAAAGGUCAGCCGAUACUGCGGGGCUAGAGUGCAGAAGGGGCGACUGGAAUUCUCGGUGUAGCGGUGAAAUGCGUAGAUAUCGAGAGGAACACCUGCGGCGAAGGCGGGUUGCUGGGCUGACACUGACGCUGAUGCGCGAAAGCGUGGGGAGCAAACAGG
rnacentral:rRNA from 1 species